CGUGAGGAGGAGGUAGGGGGCAUGCAUCAGUCUCAUAACCUGAAGGUCGCAGGUUCAAAUCCUGUUCCCACAACCA
rnacentral:tRNA from 1 species